rnacentral:rRNA from 1 species
CCAUGCUGACAUGAGUAGCGAUAAAGAGGGUGAAAGGCCCUCUCGCCGUAAGUCCAAGGUUUCCUACGCAACGUUCAUCGGCGUAGGGUGAGUCGGCCCCUAAGGCGAGGCAGAGAUGCGUAGCUGAUGGGAAGCAGGUUAAUAUUCCUGCACCAUUGUUUAAUGCGAUGGGGGGACGGAUCGCGGAAGGUCAUCAGGGUGUUGGAAGUCCCUGUUGCUGCAUCAUAGAAGGCACUUAGGCAAAUCCGGGUGCGUAAUUCAAGGGUGUGGCACGAGCGAACUUGUUCGCGUAGUGAUCGGAAGUGGUUCCAAGAAGAGCCUCUAAGCUUCAGUUAAACAAGACCGUACCGCAAACCGACACAGGUGGACGGGAUGAGUAUUCUAAGGCGCUUGAGAGAACUCAGGAGAAGGAACUCGGCAAAUUGAUACCGUAACUUCGGGAGAAGGUAUGCCCUGGUAGCGUGAUGCGCCUGCGCGCAAAGCGUGAAAGGGUCGCAGAUAAUCGGUGGCUGCGACUGUUUAAUAAAAACACAGCACUCUGCAAACACGAAAGUGGACGUAUAGGGUGUGACGCCUGCCCGGUGCCGGAAGGUUAAUUGAUGGGUGCAAGCUCUUGAUCGAAGCCCCGGUAAACGGCGGCCGUAACUAUAACGGUCCUAAGGUAGCGAAAUUCCUUGUCGGGUAAGUUCCGACCUGCACGAAUGGCGUAACGAUGGCCACACUGUCUCCUCCUGAGACUCAGCGAAGUUGAAAUGUUUGUGAUGAUGCAAUCUACCCGCGGCUAGACGGAAAGACCCCAUGAACCUUUACUGUAGCUUUGCAUUGGACUGUGAAUCGGUCUGUGUAGGAUAGGUGGGAGGCGCUGAAGCGAGGUCGCUAGAUCUCGUGGAGCCAACCUUGAAAUACCACCCUGAUUUAUUUGCGGUUCUAACCUUGGUCCGUUAUCCGGAUCGGGGACAGUGCAUGGUGGGCAGUUUGACUGGGGCGGUCUCCUCCUAAAGGGUAACGGAGGAGUUCGAAGGUACGCUAGGUACGGUCGGAAAUCGUGCUGAUAGUGCAAUGGCAUAAGCGUGCUUAACUGUGAGACUGACACGUCGAACAGGUGCGAAAGCAGGACAUAGUGAUCCGGUGGUUCUGAAUGGAAGGGCCAUCGCUCAACGGAUAAAAGGUACUCUGGGGAUAACAGGCUGAUACCGCCCAAGAGUUCAUAUCGACGGCGGUGUUUGGCACCUCGAUGUCGGCUCAUCUCAUCCUGGGGCUGUAGCCGGUCCCAAGGGUAUGGCUGUUCGCCAUUUAAAGAGGUACGUGAGCUGGGUUUAAAACGUCGUGAGACAGUUUGGUCCCUAUCUGCCGUGGGCGCUGGAAAUUUGAUGGAGCCUGUUCCUAGUACGAGAGGACCGGAAUGGACGUACCUCUGGUGUACCGGUUGUCAUGCCAAUGGCAUUGCCGGGUAGCUAUGUACGGAAGAGAUAACCGCUGAAGGCAUCUAAGCGGGAAACUCGUCUAAAGAUAAGAUUUCCCGGGGGCUUGACCCCCCUAAAGGGCCGUUCGAGACCAGGACGUUGAUAGGUCAGGUGUGGAAGCGCAGUAAUGCGUUAAGCUAACUGAUACUAAUUGCCCGUGCGGCUCGAUCCU